rnacentral:lncRNA from 1 species
GACCACUUUCAUCUCUGCCAUGGCGAACGCCUGCCCGAUGCAGUUCCUGCAGGCGGGAGUGGGGACUGUGACUGCGCCCAAGACCCGCAUUUGGGUCCCAUCAACCCGGGAACCUGGCCCGGGACCCCCAACCACACCCAGCUCAGCCUGAGAGAUAGAGAGAAGGACUAAGCGUGCCUGGGACCCCCCAUGUGGGCUUGUAUGUCCCGGAGACUGGGCCUGACUCCACCUCCCAGCUCAGACCAGCAGAUGGAGAAGGGGAUUUUCAGCACUCCGCGGACCCCUCUAGGACCUACUCAUCCCCAUUCUAUGGACGUUUUCCCGUAAACUGUGAAGGAAUGGAGGGAAGGAGAGCUGGAACUGGGACCAUCUGCAGUGUCCCCCUUUUUUUAACUCCCGCACCCAUCAUCCCAUCCCUGCCUCAGACACAGGGCGCUCUUACCUGGGCCCUGCAGAGAAGGGAAUAAAAGCCAGAGGUGACCUCUCCUUGCUGUUCUCUGGGUCAAAGCGGAAGGGGUCAUAGACCUGCAGUUUCAGAAUUAGCAGUGCCCUGUGGGCUGCAU